CAGGCGCCCGGUCAGUGCCAGCCCCAGCAUCACCAUCCUCACCACCCAGAAGAACAGGGGAUUUGGGGGUGAAUUUGGGGUGAAUUUGGGUGAAUUUUGGGUGGAUUUUGGGGGAUUUGGGGGUGAUUUUGGGGUGAAUUUGGGUGGAUUUGGGGUGAAUUUGGGGGGAUUUGGGGGUGAAUUUGGGGUGAAUUUGGGUGAAUUUUGGGGGGAUUUUGGGUGAAUUUGGGGUGAAUUUGGGUGAAUUUGGGGUGAAUUUGGGUGAAUUUGGGGUGAUUUUGGGUGGAUUUUGGGGUGAUUUUGGGUGAAUUCAGGCUGGAU